ACGCUGGCGGCGUGCCAAUACAUGCAAGUCGAACGGUCUUUUCUAUGGAAGCUUGCUUCCAACUGAAAAGAUAGUGGCGAACGGGUGAGUAACACGUGGGUAACCUGCCCAUAAGAGGGGGAUAACAUCCGGAAACGGUGCUAAUACCGCAUAGUUUCUUGAUCGCAUGAUCGGGAAAGGAAAGACGGCCUUUGUGCUGUCGCUUAUGGAUGGACCCGCGGCGUAUUAGUUAGUUGGUGAGGUAACGGCUCACCAAGACGAUGAUACGUAGCCGACCUGAGAGGGUGAUCGGCCACAUUGGGACUGAGACACGGCCCAAACUCCUACGGGAGGCAGCAGUAGGGAAUCUUCCGCAAUGGACGAAAGUCUGACGGAGCAACGCCGCGUGAGUGAAGAAAGGUUUUCGGAUCGUAAAACUCUGUUGUCAGAGAAGAACAAGUUGGAGAGUAACUGCUCCAGCCUUGACGGUAUCUGACCAGAAAGCCACGGCUAACUACGUGCCAGCCGCAGC
rnacentral:rRNA from 1 species